rnacentral:lncRNA from 1 species
AAGUAUUUAAUAAAAUACUCAAUCUUUCUAUGCCUUCUUCACUUUCAGUUAAUAAGUUCAAAAAAUAUGUUGAAUUGUUGACAAAAGUUUUUGCAAGUACUCUUAGUAGUUUUCUUAUUGGUAUAUAUGACUAAAAUAUUAACGGUCUAUGAAGUUCUUGGUAUGCUCAAAUAUGCCGACAAGCAUACAACCAUGGUUUAAUCUAACUCUAUCAAUGCUUCUUUUUUACAUUAUAUUCUUGCUCGUCUCGCAAUAAAUUUCUUGCUUGUACUCUCUAUUGUCUUCUUUUCAACUAGCAUAUUUUUUUUAAUGCAAUGUUCUCAUUCUUAUUGACCAUAAUCUUUCAUCAUAUAAUAUU